rnacentral:rRNA from 1 species
UACGUAGGGGGCUAGCGUUGUCCGGAAUUAUUGGGCGUAAAGAGCGUGUAGGCGGUCCGGUAAGUCCGCUGUGAAAGUCGGGGGCUCAACCCUCGAAUGCCGGUGGAUACUGUCGGGCUGGAGUGCGGCAGAGGGGGAUGGAAUUCCGCGUGUAGCAGUGAAAUGCGUAGAUAUGCGGAGGAACACCGAUGGCGAAGGCAGCUCUCUGGGACGGUACUGACGCUGAGACGCGAAAGCGUGGGGAGCGAACAGG